GCGGGGCGCGCGCCACCCGCGGGGCGACCGCGCGGGGCCGGGGCCGGGACGCGGCCGGGUGCACGCCGCCCUGCCCGCCGCUGCCGGGACAAUGGCGGGGUCCUCGGUGGCAUCCUCGGCGGCCCCGGGCUCGGGUCCCCGCGCGGCAGGGCCAGGGCCGGGCGCACGCUUGGGCGCAGGGACUCAGCCUCCACGCGCGAGCGUCCCCACCGGGCCCGCGAUGGCGCGACAUCGCCACCAACUUUCCCGGCUCCCGCGGCCCGGCUCCGCCGCGGGCUCCUUAAGGUGGCACAGGGCUGCCCGGGCUCCGGGGCGCACUCCUUCCCCGCCGCCGCGCCCGCGCGCCAGUCCUCCUUAAGAGCGAGCACGUGGGCAGGGGCCGCGGCCCCGCGACUGCCCCGGGCGUCGGCGGACACGCGCCGCGGCGGCCGUGGGCGAGUCCGUGUGGAUGCUCCCCGCCGGCCCGAGGCGCCUCCAUCCCGCCCGCACACCUUGGCGCCUCCCAGUCUCCGGACCCCAGGGACGCCCACGGCUAGCCGCCUGCGCGCUGGUCCCCCUUAAGAAGCGCUGACUGUACGGCGGCGCCAGAGGGCCAAACUCGAUUAGAUUUCGGGAAACGCGCUCAGGGCCAAGCUGGAAACCUGGGAUCCGCGCGCGGACCACGAAGAGCCGCGUCGCCAACAGCACCAGGUACCCUGUGCCACUCGCUAGAACGACCCCGGCGCACCCGAGGGGCGCCGUACCCGCGGCUUGGGAGGCGUCGGAGCCUCAGGAAGAAGAGGGGUCCCGGGAAGGAACCCGGCUCCGGACCCCAGGGAAGUCCGCGCCGGACCGCCCCCCCCCCCCGCCUCAAGGAGCGCGCGCGAGCCAGGAGGCGAUCGAAGCCCGGCGGAGGACGAGGAAGCUGGCCGGAAGGGCCCCAGGCCGUAGGGUAGGGGCCCCUGGGGUCUGGGCCGGACUCCUCCGGUUCUCCUCCCAAACUGCGCCGCCCCCGCCCCCACUCCGCCGUCUGGGCGCGGGAGGCCGUGGACCGCGCACCUGGCCGCGCACCACACCCCGGGCCGCCCGGACCCCGCCGCAGGCGCCGUCUGAAAACUUCUUAAAGCCUGUGCUCCGCAGAAACGAGAAGGGGAGCCGCCCGCCGCGGCACUGCGUGUCCUCAGCCUCCGCCGGCCUCGCGAGGCCGGGUCCUCACCUCGCCCACUCGGAUCCAAGGCCGGGACCGCGAGGGUCGCUGCUGAUCGCGCGCACUGCUUCUGGGCGUGCAGAGCGCCCGCCAGCAUCUAUCCUGUUUGAUUCGUCACUAUUAUUAUAUCUGAUGAUGCGAAGGCUGGAACGCUCAACCCGAAGUCAUUAAUGAGCUAUUUUAUCAACACCGCUGUGGGGAUCUUCAUUUACAUUCGCCCAGGAUCGCGGCGCUCACCUCCCGGCUCUCGUCAACAGCGCGGGUGCGGGACUUCGUCCGUCAGCGCUCUUACAACACCAUGGGCGCACUGUUAAUCGCUUAAUACUUUAUAAAGUGCCUCUUCCUUUCUCUGUGGCCUGCACUCCUAACUCAACUCGUAAUGACCACGUUGCUUGAUUUCUCCCUGUGGACACUGAGGUUUCAUGGCCCUGGCUCUGCACCCGGUGGACACUGUCUCGGAUGCCUGCCCAGGACCUCGAAGGACUGGCGUGGGAUCGAAGGGCCCAGCACGGACACCCGGCCUGGGAAGGCCCAGCGAAUCCCCAGCUCCACAGCUCCCAGUGCUGUCACCGCCUGCUGCCUGCCAACAGCCCCGCCUGCCAGCUCGGCCAUCUCUGCACUUUGUCACCGAGUCAGAGUAUUUGACAUCCGCAAUUAUCUGCAAAUGCCCCAUCGGAACCCACAACCCUCAAGAGCUCCUGACCAAG
rnacentral:lncRNA from 1 species